AGGUAAACGGGUAGUGCUGAAGUAGGCGUUCAUGAUUUAACUUUGUGGGCUGCUGAGGCGUUUUUUGGCCAAGUCCUAAGAGGCUGGUUGAGGGGCGUUUUCGGUGGUCUGCGAGGGGCACUUUGUGUUCGCUAGCACUGGGACCGGUGAUUAGGUUGGACUGUCUUUCGGAGAAGGUAGUGAAUGUCUCUCACGGGACAGUCAUGUUAUAGCUCUGAUUACGGCAAUAUCUGACUGAACAUCGUAAAUUGCGGCUUGCGUUUUCUGGGGUUGGCUGUUGCCGGGCAGGACUUUGUAUUUACUGUUUAACAGUGGGUCUAGGUCGUUUGCCUUGUGCGGUCGAUCUCGUUGCGCGAGUCCAUAGUCUCCAGUGUGCCAGUAGGUCAACUACCCGACCCGUCUUGAAACACGGACCAAGGAGUUCAGUAUAUGCGCGAGUCAAUGGGUUUUACGAAACCUUGCGGCGAAAUGAAAGUAAAGGUCCACUUCGGUGUGACUUUCGUGUGAUCCCGAGACCUCGGUCGAGGGCGCAACACGGGCCGGCUUUUUCAUUUUUGUGAUAUAAGCUGCGCUUGAGCGUAUAUACUGAGACCCGAAAGAUGGUGACCUAUACUUGCUCAGGUUGAAGCCAGAGGAAACUCUGGUGGAAGACCGCAGCAGUUCUGACGUGCGAAUCGAUUGUCAGAAGUGAGUAUAGGGGCGAAAGACUAAUCGAACCAUCUAGUAGCUGGUUCCCUCCGAAGUUUCCCUCAGGAUAGCUGGCGCUCGAUUUCAGUUUGAUCCGGUAAAGCGAAUGAUUAGAGGUCCUGGGAACGAAAUGUUUUCAACCUAUUCUCAAACUUUAAAUGGGUCAGAUGGCAUUGUCACUUAAUUGGACUUUGUCAAUGAAUGAGAGUGCCUAGUGGGCCAUUUUUGGUAAGCAGAACUGGCGCUGUGGGAUGAACCAAACGUCUGGUUAAGGUGCCAAACGCAGUCGCUCAUAAGAUACCAGAAAAGGUGUUGGUUGGUAUAGACAGCAGGACGGUGGCCCUGGAAGUCGGAAACCGCUAAGGAGUGUGUAACAACUCACCUGCCGAAUCAACCAGCCCUGAAAAUGGAUGGCGCUUUAGCGAUGGACCUAUACCGGACCGGCAUGGCGGAAUUGCAGCGGUGUUGGACACGUCUCUUUUUAGGGGCGGGAAAGGCGCCGUUGUUAAGGAGGCUGUGCCGAGUAGGAGGGCCACCGUGGUUGCGUAGAAGCUUAAGCCGUGAGAGCUGA
rnacentral:rRNA from 1 species